AUUGAACGCUGGCGGCAUGCUUUCCACAUGCAAGUCGGACGAGUGGCGAACGGGUGAGUAACGCAUCGGAACGUACCGAGUAAUGGGGGAUAACUGUCCGCAAGGACAGCUAAUACCGCAUCGUAUUCGAGCGGCCGAGUUGUGCUUAGCUGGUUGGGGGGGUAAAGGCUCACCAAGGCGACGAUCAGUAGCGGGUCUGAGAGGAUGCUCAGCCACACUGUGACGGGGAAACGGCCCAGACUCCUACGGUAGGCAGCAGUGGGGAAUGUUGGACAAUGGGCGCAAGCCUGAUCCAGCCAUGCCGCGUGUCUGAAGAAGGCCUUCGGGUUGUAAAGGACUUUUGUCAGGGAAGCGGUACCUGAAGAAGAAGCACCGGCUAACUCCGUGCCAGCCGCCGCGGUAAUUC
rnacentral:rRNA from 1 species